ensembl:lncRNA
CAGGGAGAGAGAAGUAAGUUUCUAGGUCAGCCUGGGAGCUGCUGAAUUUGAAUCCACCAAUCAGAGAGCCUGUGUACUUUUUCCCGCCAAAACAUGUGCAUCUUUUUACACACGCAGCACAGAGAGGCACAGGAUUAUUGCAGCCUAUUUCUCAUAGUGAGGACUCCCCUCAAACAAAUGACCAUAAUUUCCAAACUGUAGGGGCUAGAGCGGUCAUUCUUACACCGUUUUGUUCAGAAGAGAUGGGGGAAUCUUCCAGUGUUAACAAUUUAUCAUUAAAAUGUGAAUUUUUAGAGAUAUAUGACAUGGAUGACUUGUUGACUUAGAAGCCACGAAUUCCCCAAUAUGCAAAUAUGAAUGCCUGAGACCACAUAUAUGAUUGGCUGGCUGGGAAGCCGUGCAGGCCCUGAUUUGUGGAUUUGAAUUCCUCAGCCCUCAGAUAUGAUUGGCUGGCUUAGAAGCCAUGAAGGCCCCAAUAUGCAAAUUUGAAUGCCUCAGGACACAUAUAUGAUUGGCUGGGAAGCUGUGCAGGCCCUGAUUUGAAAAUUUGAAUUUCUCAGUCCUCACAGAGGAUUGGCUGCCUGGGGACCUGGCAGAAAUAUAUAGAAAUACUAUGAUUAAGCAUAAAUACUACAUUUAGUAGAAAUACUAUGUUUUAGCACAAAUACUAUAAAAAGCAGAAAUACUAUAUUAGGUACAAAUCCUAUAAAAAGCAGAAAUACUAUAUUAGGCACAAAUAGUAUAAAAAGCAGAAAUACUAUAAUUUAGCAGAAAUACUAUGUUAGGCACAAAUCCUAUAAAAAGAAUAAAUACUAUAAUUUAGCAGAAAUACUAUAUUAGGCACAAAUCUUAUGAAAAGCAGAAAUAGUAUGAUUUAGCAGAAUAGUAAUAACUUACAAAAUUACAAAUAUGGAGGCAUAUUGAAACACAAAUGCACAGAGGGACACACAAACACAGGCUCUAAUCCAGUCAACCAGUCUAACUAUGUUCAAUUUAAAUCCUACAAUGACAUGCUGCCAAAUAAGGGCAGGGUCC